rnacentral:rRNA from 1 species
GACGAACGCUGGCGGCGUGCUUAACACAUGCAAGUCGAACGGAAAGACCCUGCUUUUGUGGGGUGCUCGAGUGGCGAACGGGUGAGUAACACGUGAGUAACCUGCCCUUGACUGUGGGAUAACUUCAGGAAACUGGGGCUAAUACCGGAUAGGAGCUCCUGCUGCAUGGUGGGGGUUGGAAAGUUUCGGCGGUUGGGGAUGGACUCGCGGCUUAUCAGCUUGUUGGUGGGGUAGUGGCUUACCAAGGCUUUGACGGGUAGCCGGCCUGAGAGGGUGGCCGGCCACAUGGGGACUGAGAUACGGCCCAGUCUCCUACGGGAGGCAGUAGUGGGGAAUAUUGCACAAUGGGCGGAAGCCUGUUGCAGCAACGCCGCGUGCGGGAUGACGGCCUUCGGGUUGUAAACCGCUUUCGCCUGUGACGAAGCGUGAGUGACGGUAAUGAGUAAAGAAGCCCCGGCUAACUACGUG